AACAAGCAAUCCUGACUGAUUGCCAUCUAUCCACAGCACCGGUGGUAAGCAGGGUCAGUGUCUCCAUGCUGUCCCACCAAUGUGCCUCAACCCUGUCCUGGAGGGAUCAACUCUAAAGCUGAGUAGAUUGCUCAUUCUCUGUGGGUAUGUCUACACAGCAGCU
rnacentral:sRNA from 1 species